UUAAAUUGAAGAGUUUGAUCAUGGCUCAGAUUGAACGCUGGCGGCAGGCCUAACACAUGCAAGUCGAACGGUAGCACAGAGAG
rnacentral:rRNA from 6 species